UGGGGAAUUUUGGACAAUGGGGGAAACCCUGAUCCAGCCAUCCCGCGUGUGCGAUGAAGGCCUUCGGGUUGUAAAGCACUUUUGGCAGGAAAGAAACGUCGCGGGUUAAUACCCCGCGAAACUGACGGUACCUGCAGAAUAAGCACCGGCUAACUACGUGCCAGCAGCCGCGGUAAUACGUAGGGUGCAAGCGUUAAUCGGAAUUACUGGGCGUAAAGCGUGCGCAGGCGGUUCGGAAAGAAAGAUGUGAAAUCCCAGAGCUUAACUUUGGAACUGCAUUUUUAACUACCGGGCUAGAGUGUGUCAGAGGGAGGUGGAAUUCCGCGUGUAGCAGUGAAAUGCGUAGAUAUGCGGAGGAACACCGAUGGCGAAGGCAGCCUCCUGGGAUAACACUGACGCUCAUGCACGAAAGCGUGGGGAGCAAACAGGAUUAGAUACCCUGGUAGUCCACGCCCUAAACGAUGUCAACUAGCUGUUGGGGGCCUUCGGGCCUUGGUAGCGCAGCUAACGCGUGAAGUUGACCGCCUGGGGAGUACGGUCGCAAGAUUAAAACUCAAAUGAAUUGACGGGGGUCAUAGCUGUUUU
rnacentral:rRNA from 1 species